rnacentral:misc_RNA from 1 species
GGCAAGCCUUAAGAAAGCAGGCGAACAGGCAGUCGGUAAUCUGGCGGGGGGCAAACGUUCGGGGCCGCGGGAGCGUAAAGUGAGUUUUCGCUCGCGGCUGCUUCGCAAUGCCAGGCAGUCGAGGUGAGUCGAGUCGAGUCGAGCGGAGCCGAGCCUCUUCGAGUCAGUCUUGGACGUGGCCCCGUCGCAUCCUUCUCGGCGCUGCCUGGUGUUGUGUCCUGGUGCACGGCUACCACCUGUCGAAAUCGAACGAUCUUUAUCGCGUAACGUCCAAGCACCGCUGACCGUUCGCUCGAUACUCUCGAAAUGGCUGCAGUCUAAAAAACCGUCAAGGAUCGUCGGCUCAGUGAAUCACGACGGUUCGAUCGCCUCUGCACGCAUUCCUCUCUCUCCCUCCUUUGCUUCUCUCUUUUUCUUCCCCGCGACAUUUGAUCGCUCGAAGGACUUUGUUGUUUUCUCAUCGACGAUGACGUCGUCCAACCGGUGCAUCGGUUGAGACCACGUCCUUUUUGGUGCAGUGAUUUCGUGCGUGCGUGUUCGAGAGGAUCAGCUGGAAGCGAGCGCUGUUCAACAGAUUGGCCUCACCGAGGCGGAAGGAGUUAAUCAACGAGAGGGGUGCCCAUGCCGAGCGUCAGGAAAAAUCAGCAGGAGGGUCUUAGGAGAGGAACAUUCUCAAAGACGAGCUCGAACUCGUAGGAAUUGAAUUUGUGAACGUGGACGAUCGUGCGAGAACGUUCGAGCUUGAAAAUGUUAUCGAAAACGUGUUCCGAGAUCAUGGCGGGACUAAUAUUGUUGGCGUUCACGGCGAUAACAUUCAGAGAAGUGCAAGGACACGUUGCUCUAACCUUCCCUCGAGCAAGGAAGUACGACUUGGACUUUUUGGAUAAUGCUAGGACACCUGGUCCCUGUGGAAUGCCUCGUGGCGAUGUUAAAACCACGUUUCUGUCUGGGAGUAACUUCAAUGUCACGUGGCAUCUGGCUUACCCCCACCGAGGAGGAUUUCGCUUGCAAAUCUUGGACGCCCUCGACCGACCACUGGUGGAUCUGACUCCUGUCACGAAAAAUAGCGAGUUCGUGGAAGAUGACGCCACGGCACAAAGUUACGCGGUGCAAUUACCUCAGAAUUUCACAUGCACAGACUGCACGAUUCGACUUUUGCGAGAGGCCGAAGAGUGGGGAUCGAGUUACCGAUUUUGGUCCUGCGCAGAUAUAGACAUUAUCGACAGAAAAAGCUACAGAGAAGAUUGCAGCGGUCAUGGCCGAUAUCUUCUGGGUCGAUGCAGAUGCGAUCGACUGUAUCACGGUACAAGGUGCGAAUUUAAGGAGGAAUGUCUGGACGAUUCCGACUGCGGUAUUCAGGGCACGUGCAUUGACAAUGGCGGCACGACCGCGCCCACCAAGCACUGCUAUUGCAAUAUUGGCUGGUUCGGACCGGGCUGUGCCAAGAAAUCGCCGAUCAAGACCAUCGACGUAGACCUGGACUCUUACACGAUGAAAAAGUUCUCGGACAAUUUCACGUUUUAUUGGCGGAUAUUGAAAGAGAGCAAAGAACUGGAAGGAGUGAUGGUAGUGAACAGCACUAGUUGGGUCGGAAUUGGCUGGCGUCCAAGUGACCUGACUCCCUUAUGUCGAUCUUUCCCAAACAUACAAGAAAGACCGAAAGACGAACCGCUUCCGCAGCCGGAACCGAAAUCGGAACCCGAACCAAAAUCCGAGCCAAAAUCUGAGCCAAAAUCUGAACCGAAGGCUGAACCGAAGCCUGAACCCGAGCCUGAGCCGCAGCCUGAGCCUGAACCCGAACCUGAACCCGAGUCUGGAACCGAAAGGUCCAGCGCUAAGAGAAGGUCGGCAAAAGCGCAUGAUAUCGCGGCGCUAGCUGCGACUCCUAGGUCAGACACCGACGUGACGGUGCAGACGAGUGUUACUUAUCGCGUUAGCACGAGGCAAGGGCGCAAGAAGAGGUCUCCAGAGUCGACUGCAGUCACAAAUGGGGAACCCGUCGCCGAGCCGAGCACUGUCAACAGCACCAACCCUGAACCAGAACCUAGUUCAGAACCUGAACCCAAGUCUGAACCUGAACCCAAGUCCGAGCCUGAACCGAGUUCCGAGCCAGAACCCAAGUCUGAGCCUGAACCAAGCUCUGAACCAGAACCUAAGUCUGAACCUGAACCAAGUUCUGAGCCAGAACCUAAGUCUGAACCUGAACCAAGUUCCGAGCCAGAGCCUAAAUCCGAACCAGAACCAAAAUCCCAGUCAGAAUUCGUUCCUCAAGUCAAAUCAGAACACGCAAGUGAAAAAUCCAAAGCAAAGCUCAUGUUGCCACCUGAAUAUGAACCCAACUCUGAACCCGAGCCCAAGUCCGAACCAGAACCAAGUGCUGAGCCAGAGCCCACCUCAGAACCCGAACCAAAAUCCGAGCCAGAACCCAAGUCCGAACCAGAACCGAGUUCAGAACCCGAACCAAAAUCCGAACCUGAACCCAAGUCCGAACCAGAACCGAGUUCAGAGCCAGAGCCAAAAUCCGAACCAGAACCCAGUUCCGAACCAGAGCCAAAUUCUGAACCGGAAUCCAAGUCAGAGCCGGAGCCAAAGUCUGAACCCAGCUCGGAACCGGAGCCGAAUUCAGGUCCAAAGUCAAGCGCAACGAAAGCUAUCCUACCUGGAGCAGGCCACAAGUACACGCCGAAGCACGAUUUCAACCCUAUGGACUGCACGGACAUCAUUAUCGGAUCUGCUCGCGGUGAGAGUCACAGGAUCGGUGACUAUUAUACGAGGGACAGGUCCACGCCUCGAAAGGACGAGUACUGGGGUGGCAGGGAAACUCUAACUGCAGCCAUGGGUUACGAACGCAAUGGAGUCACAACGAUACUCUUCAGACGAAAAUUAGCAGCGAACGAACCGACCGAUCACGAGAUUGUCGAUGCUAAUAUGCAGGUGAUAUGGGCUAAAGGUCAGGAACCUGGCAAGUACGUUCACCACCCACCCAGUGGCGUCGAGAAGGCCAAGGUUAGCGUGAAGGACUUUUACAAACCUGACGAGCUCAAGUACCAUGGACAUGGGUCGCAGAGAGGAGCAGUGACGCUUAAUUUCUUUGACGAAAAGAACAGACAAGAAGCAGCAGGUGGCAACGCUACGAUGCAGGUUUCGAAUUGCAGCGGUGAAUGGCAUUAUCCCAGACAUUGUGUUCCCGAGAAUGGUACCUGUGAAUACUCUAUUCAAUGGUCGUACAAGACACGAAAGGACCAGUUAUCGUUCAUCAUCUCGACGACCAAUACGAAUACUUGGACCGGGGUUGGAUUCUCCAACGAUCAGAAAAUGUCUCAGACGGAUGCGGUGUUAGGUUGGGUAGACGACAAAUCGGGUCGACCUUUUCUCAUGGAUACUUGGAUCAGCGGAUACAAUGCCCCGCUGCUCGAUCCGUCUCAAGAUAUCUACAACACCGGCGGCAGCAAAGUGGAUGGCGUAACGACGCUCAAGUUCUCGAGGAAGCGAGUAACAAACGACAAUAAGGAUCUCUCGUUCACGGACGAGCACUGCUUGUACAUGAUGUACCCCGUCAAGGGUGGCAUGUUCAAUGCUGUCAGCAAGAAAAUACGCAAGCACGAGGCUGUACCCAUUGUCUCGUCCGAGAGGAUAUGCAUUAGAUCUUGCGGCCUCGAAGAACUGGAGGAGAUCACCACACCAGCACCGCCCAGGUGGCACUAUAACGUUGAAGUGAAGCUGAUAAAUCUUGGCGACGGUUUCAUGACGCCUGCUCCAGGUACUCCUGACUUCGAGGUCAUCUCGAACAGAAUAUCAGACAGCUUUGGUCCGGUUCUUGACAAGCUACCCGGCUACUACCAAAUUCGCCUGAACGAGCUACAGAAGAAUGACGAGAAAGAUGGCGUCAUCGCUCGCAUGGAUCUGAUCCUGGAUAAAAACGAAGUGAAAGGUAGAUCGUUGAAACCUCUGGACACGAGUGCUGCGGCAGAGAAGGCGUUGAAGGAGGCUCUGGUUAAUGGAAAGGUCGGUGCACUCAGUGUUGACCCUCAGUACCUGGUCGUCAGAGCUCCUCGAGUAACAGAUUUGGGUGGCGGAGAAGAACCAGAGGAUUCAUCGUCAACAUUCGGCUCGAACUUGUUCCUCGACGCGACCAAACUGUACAUUCUUGUGGGCUGCGUUGCUGCAUUGCUUGCCCUUGCUCUUCUACAAGCGAGCUGCACCCUCUACAGAUCAUCCAGGAGGCGAGCAACAAAGAGGGUGUACUCGCUGCCUCUGGCUUCUUGUGACGCGCCCAACCCGAUUCAUCGAACGAACGCGACGCGGUAUCAUCGACAAAACGGCGAUCACCAUCACCAUCACAACAACCACCACCAUCAUCUUCGGCAUCAUCACCAACACGCUCCGUACGAUAUGCAUCGUCCUAAUCCCAGCUGGUAGAACUUCACACUCGGUACACGAUCAAGGCGCGUUAAUAUCACUCGUCGUACCCUCGUUCGCUCGCUAAUCCAGGAUCGUCUAAUCGCCAGUAACGCUUGGAAGGACUACGCCUCCGGCGCGAAUACAAACUUCGCUUUCGAAGCGUUCGAAACGGAAGAGAAG